ACCACCGACCCCCUUGGAUUUCCAAACCUCGGGAACACUUGCUAUAUGAACUCCAGUCUUCAGAGCCUCCUGACAUUAAAAGAUUUUGUGAAGAGCGUCAGUCGUACAGAGCAGAUCUGGAGAUCAGUUCCUGAGGCUCAACUGCUGAAAAAACUGAUUGAAAUCAGGGACUGUCACA